GUGGGGAAUAUUGCACAAUGGGGGAAACCCUGAUGCAGCGACGCAGCGUGCGGGAUGACGGCCUUCGGGUUGUAAACCGCUUUCAGCAGGGAAGAAGCGAAAGUGACGGUACCUGCAGAAGAAGUACCGGCUAACUACGUGCCAGCAGCCGCGGUAAUACGUAGGGUACGAGCGUUGUCCGGAAUUAUUGGGCGUAAAGAGCUCGUAGGUGGUUGGUCACGUCUGCUGUGGAAACGCAACGCUUAACGUUGCGCGUGCAGUGGGUACGGGCUGACUAGAGUGCAGUAGGGGAGUCUGGAAUUCCUGGUGUAGCGGUGAAAUGCGCAGAUAUCAGGAGGAACACCGGUGGCGAAGGCGGGACUCUGGGCUGUAACUGACACUGAGGAGCGAAAGCAUGGGGAGCGAACAGGAUUAGAUACCCUUGUAGUCC
rnacentral:rRNA from 1 species